UUGUGGCGCGUGGCAGUGCGACUAGCUCCUUGUAACUCCCCCAGGGUCGGAAGACAGCAAGGGCAUCCGGUUGUAGCAGUGCGAUACUGUCAUGCUUUU
rfam:Microscilla marina ATCC 23134 1099589004123, whole genome shotgun sequence.